CACGUAGGGCGCAAGCGUUGUCCGGAAUUAUUGGGCGUAAAGCGCGUGUAGGCGGCCACGCAGGUCCGCUGUGAAAACUCGAGGCUCAACCUCGAGCUGUCGGUGGAAACCGCGUGGCUAGAGUCCGGAAGAGGGGACUGGAAUUCCCGGUGUAGCGGUGGAAUGCGCAGAUAUCGGGAGGAACACCCGUGGCGAAGGCGGGUCCCUGGGACGGUACUGACGCUGAGACGCGAAAGCGUGGGGAGCGAACAGG
rnacentral:rRNA from 1 species